rnacentral:lncRNA from 1 species
ACUACAUAGAUAGAUAUCGAUAUGAUAUGAUGGCUUCUUUCAGGCCUUUCUCCCUCUCGUCGCCGAUGACAACGACGAUGCUCCUGCUCUUUCUUCUCCUCUGCACGAAUUCCGCCACCGCCGACGUCGCCGGCAGCAAUGGCGGCUGCGGCGGCUUCAAGCGCAUGUUCAGCUUCGGCGACUCCAUCACCGACGCCGGCAACCUCGCGACCAUCAGCCCUCCCGACGCCUCCUUCAACAGGCUCCCCUACGGCGAGACCUUCUUCGGCCACCCCACCGGCCGCUUCUGCGACGGCAGGCUCAUCGUCGACUUCCUAGCGGAUGAUCUGGGGCUGCCGUUCCUGACGCCGUUCCUCCGGGCGAAGUCGCCGGAGGACUUCCGGCAGGGGGCCAACUUCGCGGUGGCCGGAGCGACGGCGCUGAGCCAGGACUUCUUCAAGCAGAUGGGGCUCAACCUCACCAUCAUACCUCCAUUCUCGCUGGACGUGCAGCUCGAGUGAGAUCAGAUAACUGAUUGGUUGGUGUUUGAGAGGAAGCAUGCAGGUCACAUGCCAUUAUUAGAGAAGUCCCAGCAGCCUACAACAGUGAAUUUGUUAUAUCUAGAAUUUUAUAUUCUGCUAUACAAUAUCUUGUAUAUAACUUAAUUGUAUUUGC